AAUAUUUCACCUCCACAAGUCGCUCAUACUGAUCUUCCAUUACUUGUUCUUAUCAGCGGAAUAUUUCGUACGUCCCCCCCAUUUGGGGACGUAGAUAUUACUCUGAUUUUGAGAAUAAGAUGGAGGGUUUGAGGGACUUGCUCUAUCUCUGCCAAGGGUCGUCCUGGUGAUGUCAUAACCUCAGGAUUGGCCCACUCCCC